UCUUACAUAAAAUGUAUUGUUUAUGCGGCGAAAGUGUUAUACCGUAAAGGAAAAGCAAUCAAUCUUGUGGUCUGAAGUGUAGCCGUCUCUGUCUAGUUGCGGUUGUUUACGUAUUGUACUCUCUACUUCUCUACUCUGGUUCGUUUCGCGGGUGAUUACGAUAUAGACCAGCGCGACGUUGACAGGGUAACUUUGUCUCAACAGCACAAAACGAGCUCGACAUAAACAGCCAACAUGUUUAAAAAUCAUUUAGAAAUGAUUGGCAGAAAUGAGACGCCAUCGAAGAAAGCCAGAUUUUGGCAAUCCUUCGUGCGUUCUCUUAAAGGAUCGGAGGACCUCAGGGCCGAAGACAGGUACAGGCCGUCGCGCCGCAGCGUAUUUCCGGAGCUUCUGUCCACCAGCUACCCCUACAGCAAAUCUAUCUACGAUGACCCUAUCGGCGCUGCCGAGAGGAUCACAGUCCCCGGAUACCGCUACCUACCAGUCCACCGCGAAACAUACGGCUACUCACCACGUCCCAUCUACGCCCACAACUACCCUCGCCCCCUCGAAGCGUACAGGCCAAUUUACCAUGUACCGAGGCGUGUGAGACGAGGCGUUGACCCCUUCGACGCGCACAAGGCCUGGCAGGACCAUCUCGACAGACUGUCCGCCAUCGACCGUCUGUACCCCUCUCGCUACGGGCUCUACUUGAAGGACAGGGCAUACCCCAUCACCGACCUGUCCGCUCCCAUCAUCGACCCUUACUCAUCACCUAAGAGCCUUAGAGGCAUCGAAUAUGAACCCGACUCCAAACCUCACUGGGGAAAAGGAGCGUGGCCGGAGAGGAUAUCGGACGUGUUCAAAAAGGAUCCAUUUUUUGCUGAGGCUGAAAAAUGGGCCGAUUUUGACCGCACACUUCGAGGGAGAUCCCCGACGCCCGUGAAGCCAAGGAUAAGUCCGCCACGAGAUUGCGAGGUCGCAUUCGAUGCCGAUGGUGCGCCGCUAUACACCGCCAGCGGGCUGCGACGCAGGCCAUGGGCUAACAUUUUCAACCCGAGCCCGUCCCUGCCUUACUCGGCGAUCAUUCGGGACCCCUUCUGGUACGACUGGCCGGAGCUGAGACCCAUAGCGCGAUGGGACCGCAGCCCCUCCUACAUCCGCGACUCGUACCUCUCACCCGUCAAACGCACCUUCCUCUGGGACAAGCACCCGAUCAGGCCUUUAGAUCUAAUGGUGUACGACAGAUUAACAGUGGAUGAUUUAAGCAAGACUAUGCCCUUCAUCCAUAGUCUAUAAUGAGAGCACCAGAUACCUCUUCAGUGGGUAAAAAGGAUAUCCGCACUAGAACUGCUGCUUACUAAAGGGUCGGUCAACGCUCUCUAUUUAUUAAGUUAAUUUUUAUAAUUCCUACCUGUUGAAACAUUUAUUUUUAAUUGUUCAUUCGUUUCAAUUAUGACUAUGUUAAAAUUAUUUUUACAUCACUUACUGAAUUUUUCCGGUUUAUAUUUCUUUAAGAUCUCAAAGACUGCAUUAACAUAGUCACUGCCACGAAAAUGAACAUUGUUACAGUGAAAUUGUUUUUAUUAUAAUAAAAUUAUUUUUAUGUACCUACUUCAAAACUAAAAAAAAAACAAUAAAACAC